rnacentral:lncRNA from 1 species
UUAUAUAUUGAAGAAAAAAAUUAGUACCUAAUUUUUGGCGUAAAUUUUUUUGUUUCUUUUCAACUUCCGCCAAAAAGCAAACGCGGCAAAAAGCAAAAAUUUCCUCAUUUAUUUUUCACUUUGGCUCUAGGUUUUCUCUUUUCAAUUAGACAGUUACAAUUGAAAUCUUUGUUUGGUAUCUCUCUUCGUUAAGCAUGUUCCCACCUCAAAAUUUAGAUUACAUCUGAAGGUUAAUUUAUCUCCUCUUUUGUUACUGUAUUUACAUUGAAGAACGAUUUUAGGAAUUCAAACAAUCACUCAAAUUCUUUACAGUCUUAUUUAUUUAGGGGGUUUUGUUCUUCUUUUUGUGUUUUUGAGCAGAUUUUAAUCAUCCAAAGUCCAUCGAAGAUAUGUAUAAAGCAGCUACGCCUACUUUCUACUCCAAGGUUUGUGUUAGGGUUUCUCUUAUUGCUCCAAAUCAUUGUCUUUCUAUUCAGUAAGUAAGUAAUUUUAAUUUGUGAUAACCAUCUUGCUUUUGAGAAAAUGAGGAAUAGGGUAAACACGAAUCAAGAGUUUAUGCUAAUUUUAAGAAUUUCUCUGUUAUGCUCUUUUGUGAAUAGGACAAAUGAUUUGCUUUGCUAGUUUCCACUUUCCAGAAUUCUUCUAUCGUAUUGAUAUGGUUAGUGGGUAAGUUCAAGAAAUCUUUAUUCUUUCUUUAGCUCUUCCUGAAUUUCUUUUUGGUAUUUUCUUGUUAAGCAUAUGAUUUGUCAAGAUGGGUAUUGGGUAGUUGAAUAUAUUUGAAGUAUAACCUUUCAGUUUUUCAAAAUAAAGUUUACUUUCAACAUUUUCUAACUUUAUUUAGUGUAUUUUGGUAGUUUAUGUUGGAACUUGCAAUGCAUAUUCAGAUUAAAAAUAUGAGGAAAACAAAAUUAUCUUGUGUAACUUAUUAUAAUUGCAGAACAUGUUCAUAGUUUUAUUUUAUACUUUGCCAAUUACUAGGUACUAGUCAUCCAUAUUAGAAAAGUUAGAACUAUAAUAGUUAUACCUGCGGUAACUUUUCUAGUAAGCUUAGAAUCAGGUAUCCUAUAAGCCAGAGUUGAAUUGCCAUCGAUUUUCCUUUGAUAGCCCCCUCUAUAAGCUUAGUAGUCCAGCUAUAGAUUACAAUUGAAAGUUAACACCAAUCACCAAUUCAUAUCAGGAUUAUUUUUAGAAGAAAAAGACAAUAUUUUGAGAAAAUCUCAUUCUUGAGAUCCUUAGGCACUGUUCGGAGGAGGUUUAGCAGCAGUUGUUAUCACACUUUUGCUCUACAAGCUCAUCGCCACCAUUGGAUUAUCUCUUAAUCAUCAAGUGCUUUUAGAUGAAUCUUUUCGGAUUGUAUCUCUGUUUUCUUGAAAAAUGCUAUUUUUAUUCUUCCAUUUUUCUGUUUUUAAUUGCAUAAUGCAUAAAAUAGGGUAUAAAUGCAAAAGAUUGAUUUGGAAGUGACUAAUUCUUAUUAAUGUUUUAAGUCCUCUUUUUCGCUAAAUUUUAUUGUAUUUUGCAUCAUUAGUUACAGUCAUUGAAAUAGUUGCUUCCAAUUUAGUCUCUUAGAAAGUGAAGGUGAACAAAAUAUAACAAGUCCAAGAGCCCCUCACAAUUUUUGUUUCACUUUAAUGUUUGUGGACUUAUACUCUAGUUAUGUGAUUUAUAUGCAAUAAUAAUCUACGAUCGACUGUAGUUACAUUUGUAAUGAAGAAAAAGUAUAGUCAUUGUGUGUAAGAUGCUUGGAAGUAGGGACAAGAAAACCAUUAUCGGCUCCAUUUUGGUGCUCAACUGAAAUAUAUAGUAGGUAUUACUAUCAGCUUCCUACUGUUCUUGAUUUUUAUAUUCUAAUCAUUCUGUUUUUCUUGUUAUUAUCAGCUCCAAUAAAUGGAUUUUAUUGUUCAACAUUGGAGGUCAACUGCCACCUAGUUUUUCCAACUCUCAAAUCAAUCAGGUAAAUUUACUACUAGUUACUAUUCUAUAGAGUAUUAUUUUUAAUUUGAUAUAGUAUCCAUGGUUGAAGGAUUGAUUUGAUUUAUAUAUAUAUAAUCAUCAAAUAAUUGCUAACCAUAUAUAGUUGCUAUUAUAAGUUGAAGAGGAGGUAUGAAAAUAGGACUGCUAAAUAUUUUAAGUGCCUUUAAAACUGAGAACUGGUGUAAGGAAUUAACAGAGUACUUCUACUUUUUCUUUCUCCUAAUUUGGAAAGCUAGAUGUGUUCAUGUCUUCUUGACCUUUGGAUUUAUGGAAAUAAUUUAGCUAUUUUGACUUAGAACGAAAAAGGAAAAAACGAUGAAACCCAACUAAAACUACACUUAUUGCAUCUUAAUUGACAGGUUCUUUGCGGUUUGCUUUUUUAAUGUUUGGAUACAAAGAAUAGAGUUGGUAAAUUACUGAAACUAUAAUGACAGUGAAUCCUUGGGACAAUAAAUGUGAAUUAUAAUGUUAGUAUUAACAUUGCAGACAACAACAUCCACUAACGAGCAUAACAUUUUAAUAGUGAAUGUGUAAAUGAGUCAGUAAAGAAGACUUGGAUUUUCACAAGCUAUUUGCCUACUAGCUUCUUGAUAAUAAGGACCUUCUGGCUACUUCAUCUGUGUUAUUGCCUAAUCACAGCUGUUUGUUAUACAAGUGGGUGCCUUGUUUCUAUAAUCUUUUAAAGGAUUGCUUUGAUUUUAUUUUCUGAAAUUUCUAUCUUUUUUUUUUUGUCAGUGAAAUGAAUGAAUGAGGAUAUAAAAAAUAACUACAUAUAAUUGCUCGUUCAAUUCACGGCAGGUUUGAUUCUAAUGUGAGAAAGCCUACAUAGUUAACCUUACAUUUUGAUAGUUAGUAAUUACGUAUAUAUGAACAGAGUUUAUGUUGUCACAUAGAUUAGUUUGUGGAUGUAAAUUUUGUGUUGAUAUACUAGGAAUCGGUGAACUUUCACUUAUGUUAAAGCUGUAAUGAUAAAGUUGAGUUGUAAUUUAGAAAUUACUACUAAUAUAUAUGCUCCAUAUUUUUUUUGCAUUUUAAUAUCUAUAUUAGUAUAUAUGUUAAAUAAUAUUUUGAAUUGACUUUUUUUAUAAAUAGGUGCAGAUUCACUUGGAAUCAAGGAAGGUUGUGGACAAGUUAGAAUAAGGGUAUUGAGAAAUAAAGAACUCUUCGGGAGAAAAAGUGAUAUUAGAGAUCCUAGUUGGUAAAUGGAGGUCAAUCAAGGCAAUUCCAUCAACAGAACGAACUGGGAAUAACUGCUUAAAAUUUUUGUUCGCUUCCAAACAAGUGGAAAGAACUCACGAGAAAGGAGAAAGAUACAAUACUGAUUAGAUUACAUUGUAUUUUUUUUAGACAAUUAUAUUUUUAUUGAAGGAUAUUAGUUUGUCAUAAAUGUGACAAAUAAUAGACUUUUGUCCUAGAAUUUUCUUAUUAAUAAUAUAUAAUAUUUUCUUUGACAAUGAAUUUUCUUUGUAUAUUGUAAUUGUCACUAAUCAUGAUGAUUUGUAGUAACAUUUUUAAUUUGUUUUGUC